GUCUGGAUUCCGUGCUUCCUUACUUCCCAUAUCUUCUUUAAAAGUUGUAUGGAAUGUAAAGAAGUAUGGAGUGUUGAC
rnacentral:pre_miRNA from 1 species